rnacentral:ncRNA from 1 species
AAAGUCUUGGUCCUGGACUUUCUAUUAUUUAAAGCCCUACCUAUACAUGCAAGCAUCCACACCCCAGUGAGUACACCCUAGUUAACAACUAGGAGUUGGCAUCAGGGAUUACCCUAAGACGCCUAGCCAUGCCACCUCCACACGGACAUGCAGCAGUAACAAACAUUAGGCAAUGGGCCAAACACAUCAUUAAGCCCGACCUAGUAAAGGCUAACAGAGUUGGCCAACUUCGUGCCAGCAGCCGCGGCUAAACGGAAAACUCAAAAUAAUAUAACCGGCACAAAGCGUGACUAGAAUCUUACACCCAAUGAAUUCAUGGAUCAACCAAAAGCUACUGGGUUAAAUACAACCACACGGGAAAUCCACUACAUAAACCAUGAUAUCACAGGCUAUUCGACUCACGAGGGCCGGGGCACAAACUAGGAUUUGAUACCCUACUAUGCCCGGCUGUAAACACACACGUCGCCAGAAAAGUAAAGGUCGCAGCCCGAAACUCAAAAGACCUGGCGGUACCCCAUACCAACCUAGAGGAGCCUGUGCCAUAAUCGAUAACCCGCGAUAAACCUCACCACCACUUGCAAAUCCAGCCUGUAUACCGCCGUCGUCAGCCUACCUUCCAAGAGCGCAGCGCAAGACAGUCCACAACACAAAAACGACAGGUCAAGGUGUAGCUAAUGAGGUGGCACGCAUGGGCUACAAUGCCACACUACCGGCCAAACGGAACCAGGGCUGAAUUAAACCCGGACAAAGACGGAUUUAGUAGUAAGAACAAUAAGAACAUUGGCCUGAAACGUCGCACUGGGGUACGCACACACCGCCCGUCACCCCCGUCUUUAAGCCAACACUUAACGAAGGGGUAAGUCGUAACAUGGUAAGCGCACCGGAAGGUGUGCUUGGAAG